AUUGAACGCUGGCGGCAGGCCUAACACAUGCAAGUCGAACGAGUGGCGGACGGGUGAGUAAUGUCUGGGAAACUGCCUGACGGAGGGGGCUAACUACUGGAAACGGUAGCUAAUACCGCAUAACAUCAGAUGGGCCCAGAUGGGAUUAGCUUGUUGGUGGGGUAACGGCUUACCAAGGAGACGAUCCCUAGCUGGGCUGAGAGGCAGACCAGCCACACUGGAACUGAGACACGGUCCAGACGCCUACGGGAGGCAGCAGUGGGGAAUAUUGCACAAUGGGCGCAAGCCUGAUGCAGCCAUGCCGCGUGUAUGAAGAAGGCCUUCGGGUUGUAAAGUACUUUCAGCGGGGAGGCGUUACCCGCAGAAGAAGCAACGGCUAACUACGUGCCAGCAGCCGCGGUAAUAC
rnacentral:rRNA from 1 species